rnacentral:rRNA from 1 species
AGAGUUUGAUCAUGGCUCAGGAUGAACGCUAGCGGCAGGCUUAACACAUGCAAGUCGAGGGGUAACAGAGGUAGCUUGCUACUUGCUGACGACCGGCGCACGGGUGCGUAACGCGUAUAGAAUCUACCUUGUACUAGGGGAUAGCCUUUGGAAACGAAGAUUAAUACCCUAUAGUAAGUAUUUAUGGCAUCAUUUAUACUUUAAAGGUUACGGUACAAGAUGACUAUGCGUCCUAUUAGUUUGUUGGUGAGGUAACGGCUCACCAAGACUUCGAUAGGUAGGGGCCCUGAGAGGGGGAUCCCCCACACUGGUACUGAGACACGGACCAGACUCCUACGGGAGGCAGCAGUGAGGAAUAUUGGACAAUGGAGGCAACUCUGAUCCAGCCAUGCCGCGUGCAGGAUGACGGCCCUAUGGGUUGUAAACUGCUUUUAUGUAGGAAGAAACACUCUCACGUGUGAGAGCUUGACGGUACUACAAGAAUAAGGACCGGCUAACUCCGUGCCAGCAGCCGCGGUAAUACGGAGGGUCCAAGCGUUAUCCGGAAUCAUUGGGUUUAAAGGGUCCGUAGGCGGGCUAUUAAGUCAGAGGUGAAAGUUUGCAGCUCAACUGUAAAAUUGCCUUUGAAACUGGUAGUCUUGAAUUAUUAU